rnacentral:rRNA from 1 species
GAUGAACACUGGCGGCGUGCCUAAUACAUGCAAGUCGAGCGAACAGACGAGGAGCUUGCUCCUCUGACGUUAGCGGCGGACGGGUGAGUAACACGUGGAUAACCUACCUAUAAGACUGGGAUAACUUCGGGAAACCGGAGCUAAUACCGGAUAAUAUAUUGAACCGCAUGGUUCAAUAGUGAAAGACGGUUUUGCUGUCACUUAUAGAUGGAUCCGCGCCGCAUUAGCUAGUUGGUAAGGUAACGGCUUACCAAGGCAACGAUGCGUAGCCGACCUGAGAGGGUGAUCGGCGACACUGGAACUGAGACACGGUCCAGACUCCUACGGGAGGCAGCAGUAGGGAAUCUUCCGCAAUGGGCGAAAGCCUGACGGAGCAACGCCGCGUGAGUGAUGAAGGUCUUCGGAUCGUAAAACUCUGUUAUUAGGGAAGAACAAAUGUGUAAGUAACUAUGCACGUCUUGACGGUACCUAAUCAGAAAGCCACGGCUAACUACGUG